UAUUGAAUCCGUUACUAAUUU
ensembl:piRNA 21ur-9327 ncRNA